ensembl:lncRNA
GAGUACUGCAUAUUGCAAAUAGUAGGUGAUCAAUUAAUGUUUGCACAGCAAUUUGUAGUUUUUACAAAAUAUUCAUAGAGAAAUUUAUUUAUUAAAAAAUCUUUAGGGGGAAAAUAUCAUAGAUGUUUCUACCCUCGUUUCUCCACAACCAAAAAAUGAAGGACCUGUAACUUUCACUUGAAUUUCCUGACUCAAAAUCUGAUGCAAUUUCCAUUAAGUUUUAUCAUAUAAAAUCAAUCCAAGGCUGGAGUCUCAUAAUAAAUAAUUUCCAUUCUAAUGUCAUGGCUUUGACAGGUAAGUUACUUCUGACAAGCAUCCAUUAUUCAAAUAUUAAUUCAAAUGUAUUAUGUAUAUGCAAAGGAAUCAGAAAAGAGUCACCAAAGAUAUACAGAUCUGCUCAAAAUCUUAUAUUAUGGGCACAGUGGUAUCUCAGUUACUUAUUAAAAUGGUUUCCAAUUGAAAAUUGUGUUCUGCUGCUUGAAUAAUUUAAAUAGAUUUUAAAGAGACUUAUGAUGUGCAUCUCCAAUAUUAAUCUGCUACUUUACUUACUUUUCCACUUUUCAAAUUUUGUUUUGAUCAGAACAUUUUCUAUCAAAGCUCAACCAUUGUGCUGUUUUUGAACUUCUUCAUAUAAGUAGCUCGCAUUUCAAUAAAAGGCCGUCACCCACCCUAGCGAUUGAACUAGUAUAAAGUGAAGGGCAUAGGUUCUUCAAAGAUCCCAAAGGCGUGUCCACCUAUUUCCUUUGCUUUUCCUAUAUUCACGACAACCUUGGAUUUGCCUUCUUAGAGUCUAUUAGAGAAAUCUUAACCCUGGUCAACAAGGAUUGAAGCACCUACUGUGUAUGUUUUAUCUAUCGGGACUUCUGGACUGCUAGUCCACACAACGCAUUAAAUUAUCUGGACAUUUUAUUCAUCUCUAAAAUAAGUUGGUUUUAAUAGAUUAACUCUAAGGCUCUUUCCAGCUCUAAUACAGUGCUACUCUAAGUUGAGGCAUAGAUUUUCAUAUUUAGAAACAAAUAUUUAGGGUUUACUACUUUAUAUUUAGAACAUAAGUCUGGACACAGUAAGCAAAUAUACAAGAAAAGAGUAUAAUAGCUCUUUUCUCAGGCUGUAUUCAUAGAGAGAAAUUAUCAAGGGAAAAAGGAAGGGUAUCCACCUUUAUAGAGCAUUACAGUCGGCGUUGAUUUCUACACUUCAAAUGAGAGCACCGCUCCUUGUUUCUGCGUCCAGUUGAUUGGCUCCUAUCAUGACAAGGGGAGUGGGAAGCGGUCUUCUACAGGAUGUCAAACAAGUUUUACCGAAGUCAAGUGAUUAUUCAGCCCGCAGAUUCCUGUUUGGAUUUCCAGAUUCCUUGUCCUGAAGCUCACUUGACAAGUAUGAUUUUUCUUCAGCAUGCUACUGGCUUACCACGUAUCAAUUUUUACCUCUGACUCACAUUUUGGGUGUACAUUUUCUCUUCUUUCCUUCAACAUUUUUCUCUUAGUUUUAGUCAAUCUAUCGUGUUUCCUGUACCAGAUUCCACAGGUGUUUUUUCAUUACAACCCCAGUCAGCUUGGUGGCCCAUGUCCACAAGGGGCAUCUUUUCUUUCCCCAGCAGUUUCUUCCAAAACACUGGCAAUUUCAAGUCCCUCAUCUAAUUUGUGUUUCUCUUCAGGUAUUUAACUACUGGAGUUUCUGCUCACUCUGGCCCAAUAAUUGCCCAAGUACAGGAUCUUGACUAAGGUAGACUGC